CCUACGGGCGGCUGCAGUCGAGAAUUAUUCACAAUGGGGGAAACCCUGAUGGUGCGACGCCGCGUGGGGGAUUGAAGGUCUUCGGAUUGUAAACCCCUGUCAUGUGGGAGCAAAUUAAAAAGAUAGUACCAUUAGAGGAAGAGAGGGCCAACUCUGUGCCAGCAGCCGCGGUAAUACAGAGGUCUCAAGCGUUGUUCGGAAUCACUGGGCGUAAAGCGUGCGUAGGCUGUUUCGUAAGUCGGGGGUUAAAGGUGCGGGCUGAACCCGCGGACUGCACAUGAUACUGCGAGACUAGAGUAAUGGAGGGGGAACCGGAAUUCUCGGUGUAGCAGUGAAAUGCGUAGAUAUCGAGAAGAACACUCAUGGCGAAGGCAGGUUCCUGGACCUUAACUGACGCUGAGGCACGAAGGCCAGGGGAGCAAAAGGGAUUAGAUACCCUGGUAGUC
rnacentral:rRNA from 1 species